UACGUAGGUGACCAGCGUUGUCCGGAUUUACUGGGACGUAAGAGCGCGCAGGCGGUCGUUCAAGUCGAGUGUGGAAAGCCCCCGGCUCAACCUGGGGAGGGUCAUUCGAUACUGGAUCGACUGGAAGGCAGGAGAGGGAAGCGGAAUUCCCGGUGUAGGUGUGAAAUGGCGUAGAUAUACGGGAGGCAACACCAGUGGCGAAGGC
rnacentral:rRNA from 1 species